AAAAAAAUUUGUCGGCGAAAGAACCUGUUUUUGCGACUAAUUUGAUCUUUUGGUCGCCAAAAGUUUGGGGGCAAAUUUGAAACGUGGGGCGGGAAUUGAAUUUCAGAAAAAAAAAAUUUAAGCCCUGAUCUUCUUCGUCUUUAUCUAAAAAAAAAGCCCUAAUCUGUGUCUCUUUAUGUUGGCCCGCCCCUCCCUCUUUCUGUGUUCUCUCUCUCAAUCGGUGCCCACUCUCUCUAGCUCACCGAAGUCCCUCACCACCAUUGCUCACGUCGGUCGCACGUCGCCACCGCUACAAAUCGCCAUCGCCAAUAAUUUUCUACUUCACACUGUUGAUGCAUCAAUCGAACCCAGAUUGGGGUAAUUUGGUUUAAUAUGGUGAUAUGUAAUAAGUUUCUCCUAAUAUUGGAUCUCUAGUAAUCAAUUUCCUUUGUUGAGAAAGAACCCAGAUUGGAUGUCUCUCUCUCUUUCCUUUCUCUUCAUCGGCAUCAAUUUUCUUCCUAUGAACGAAGAUCAAUCUAAAACGACGACAUCGAUCGCCUCCUUCUUGUCCAUUCCGAUCUCUACUCUCUCAGUCACUAGAUGAUCAAUUGCUUCUCUUUCAACCUCUUGGCCUCUAACCUAGGCGUCUCAAGAUAAAAAGAGCUUGGAUGUUGGAGCUAACCUUUUGUGGGAAACCUUGAUCCUGAUGUGGAUGAGAAACUUUUCUAUGAUACUUUCACUGCAUUUGGAGUCAUUGUUACAAAUCCCAAGAUAACAAUCUUAGUGGCUGCUGAAGAACUACAUGAGCUGGCCACUAUCAAUGGCUGUGGAGACUUGAAGGAAGCCUUGCAAAAGCUACCUUCUUUCCCUUCAAGAAGAACACUAGUAAGAAUAAAAAUAAUCCCUGACUAAAAACCUCUGGAUUAUGUUUCUUCCAUGUCUAGCAAGGAAUUGGUAUUGUUUUCAUGAAACUUUAAUGGCCCUGUUUCAUUUACU